AAAAAUAUUAUCUUUUAUAAAAGAUACGUAGAUGAUAUCCUUCUGAUAUACAACGGUAAAAGAUCCCACAUUAUAGCUCUUAAUAACAUUUUUAACAAUAUUAAUAAUCUUCAAUUUACUUACGAAGUAGAAAAAUGUUCAUCUAUUUGCUUCCUUGAUCUUACUAUAACAAAGUGCAUCUCCGAGAACAGAAUCCUAUUCGACAUAUAUAGAAAACCUACUACUACCAAUACCUUAAUCAAAAAAAAUUCAUUUACAUCAUUUCAACAUAAAUACGCAUCUUUUCGUUUCUUUUUUGAUAGAAUUUUAAAUUACCCACUUUCACGUGCUAGUUUUAACAAGGAGAUUAAUACUAUCAUCAAGCUGGGCUUCGAUAAUGGUUACUCACUUCAGGAGCUUCAAAAUUUAUUUUUCCGCAUUCAUCAAGCUAGAAUUAAUAAUCUCAUAUAUCCCCACUUUUCCAACCCCGGCGUUUUUGUCUCUAUACCUUUCCACCCUUUAAUCCAAAAACAAUUUUCCGAUAUUUUCAAUAAGUUUAAUGUCACACCGGUAUACCGUGCUAAUGCUAAAUUGGGCCAAUUAUUAACUAAUAAUAAACACAUAUUCGAUGAUAAACUUAAAAGUGGGAUUUACAAACUUAAUUGUAACGAUUGCGAUUCCUUUUAUAUAGGACAAACUGGAAGGAAUAUCAGUACUAGAUUCAAGGAACACUUAAAUAAAGAAAAUUCUACUUUUUAUAAACAUUUAAAAGAACAUAAACAUAAAACUGAUAUAUCCAAAAUUAAACUUCUAAAACAUCUUAAUAAAUCCAGAAAAAUGGACCUAUUUGAGGAAUACUAUAUAAAAUCAUACCACAUUAAAAACCCUGAACAUAUUUUGAAUGAAAUUACUGAUUUUAACAAUUAUAAUAGAUAUUUUACACCUUUCAUAUAAUUUCAAACUCACCGCUCUUGCAUUUGGUUUGUCACAUCCUGAUACCAAUUUUUCAUUUUCUUAAGUUGUCAUAUUACUUACUUCCUCUUUUAACUGACCUCAGUCCGUUGUAACCAGUCGAUAUGUGCACACGACUCAAGUUUUUCGAUUUUUAACGAUAAAUUCCCUUUUUAUAACACGCCUUCAGCUUUCACAGUUUCUUUUACGCCUGCCUUCAGCAUUUCAAAACUUUAUUAACCUAUCACCCGACAUUGGAGUUUUUAACCUGACAUGGUAAACCCACGCCGUUUUCAAAAAUUUCACUUUUUUCUUUAAUCCAAAAUUAUAUUUUUAAUCAUCGGUCCUUCGUAGUUUUUUGUAAGAGAAAUUAUUCCACAUGAUCAUUUUUUCACGUGUUCAUCAUUCUUAGUUUUUGACGUCGUACCUGAAGACGCUUUUAGAAAAAGCGAAACAUUGUUGUACCGAAAUUAGAAAAAAAUAAUAAAUAAUCAUCGUGGA